UACGGGGGGGGCAAGCGUUGUUCGGAAUUACUGGGCGUAAAGGGCUCGUAGGCGGCCAACUAAGUCAGAUGUGAAAUCCCCAGGCUUAACCUGGGAACUGCAUCUGAUACUGGAUGGCUUGAAUCCGGGAGAGGGAUGCAGAAUUCCAGGUGUAGCGGUGAAAUGCGUAGAUAUCUGGAGGAAUACCGGUGGCGAAGGCGGCUCACUGGGGCUUAUCUGACGCUGAGGAACGAAAGCCAGGGGAGCGAACGGG
rnacentral:rRNA from 1 species